rnacentral:rRNA from 1 species
ACGUCCUUGAACGACGGAAACUGCGAACGGCUCAUUAAAUCAGUUGCGAUCUACUCGGCGUUCCGCGCCGCGGAUAACCGUAGUAAUUCUAGGGCUAAUACGUGCGAAGCCGCCGAAGCCGCGAGGCGACGGGCGUUCUCGCCGGAUGUAGGAACCGACCCGGGGACCGCCGGGGGCAACCCCGGCGCCCCCCGAGACGGGGCGAACCACGGUGAAAUGACGGAUCGUCGGCCCCGCGCCGGCGACUCGCCGAAUGAGUUUCUGACCUAUCAACUCGAGACGGCGGGGUAGAGGCCCGCCGCGGUAACGACGGGUAACGGGGAAUCAGGGUUCGAUUCCGGAGAGGGAGCCCGAGAAACGGCUACCACUUCCAAGGAAGGCAGCAGGCGCGCAACUUACCCUAAUCUCGAUUCGAGGAGGUAGUGACAAGAAAUACCGAUGCGGG